UGACGGUGACGGUCUGCAAACCCGUGUAAAGAUCGAAACAGGUUUUGCAAUGCAUCACGGUCAGU
rnacentral:pre_miRNA from 1 species